CGAACGCUGGCGGCGUGCCUAAUACAUGCAAGUCGAACGCACCCUUCGGGGUGAGUGGCGCACGGCUGAGUAACACGUGGGAAUCUGUCUUCUAGUGGGGGAUAACGUCUCGAAAGAGACGCUAAUCCCGCAUACGCUCGGCAACGAGGAAAGGCGCAAGUCGCUAGAAGAGGAGCCUGCGGCCCAUCAGGUAGUUGGAGAGGUAAUGGCUCACCAAGCCUAUGACGGGUAGCUGGUCUGUGAGGACAACCAGCCAGACUGGGACUGAGAACGGCCCAGACUCCUACGGGAGGCAGCAGUAAGGAAUUUUCGUCAAUGGGGAAACCCUGAACGAGCAACGCCGCGUGGAGGAUGACGGUCUUCGGAUUGUAAACUCCUUUUGUGAGGGACGAUAAUGACGGUACCUCGCGAAUAAGCCCCGGCUAACUCUGUGCCAGCAG
rnacentral:rRNA from 1 species